rnacentral:rRNA from 1 species
GAGUUUGAUCCUGGUUCAGAUUGAACGCUAGCGGGAUGCCUUACACAUGCAAGUCGAACGGCAGCACGGACUUCGGUCUGGUGGCGAGUGGCGAACGGGUGAGUAAUGUAUCGGAACGUGCCCAGUAGCGGGGGAUAACUACGCGAAAGCGUAGCUAAUACCGCAUACGCCCUACGGGGGAAAGCAGGGGAUCGUAAGACCUUGCACUAUUGGAGCGGCCGAUAUCGGAUUAGCUAGUUGGUGGGGUAACGGCUCACCAAGGCGACGAUCCGUAGCUGGUUUGAGAGGACGACCAGCCACACUGGGACUGAGACACGGCCCAGACUCCUACGGGAGGCAGCAGUGGGGAAUUUUGGACAAUGGGGGAAACCCUGAUCCAGCCAUCCCGCGUGCGCGAUGAAGGCCUUCGGGUUGUAAAGCACUUUUGGCAGGAAAGGAACGUCAUGGGUUAAUACCCCGUGAAACUGACGGUACCUGCAGAAUAAGCACCGGCUAACUACGUGCCAGCAGCCGCGGUAAUACGUAGGGUGCAAGCGUUAAUCGGAAUUACUGGGCGUAAAGCGUGCGCAGGCGGUUCGGAAAGAAAGAUGUGAAAUCCCAGAGCUUAACUUUGGAACUGCAUUUUUAACUACCGGGCUAGAGUGUGUCAGAGGGAGGUGGAAUUCCGCGUGUAGCAGUGAAAUGCGUAGAUAUGCGGAGGAACACCGAUGGCGAAGCAGCCUCCUGGGAUAACACUGACGCUCAUGCACGA